AAUGUCUCACUGAUAUCAUGGAGUAAAAAUCCUUAAUGAAACAACUAUUUGCAUUGGCUCAACAUCAGACAGAUUUACUUCAAUUUUCAUGUUAUCCCUGUGAAGAUUUGAAGUGAAAAUGAAAGCUGUGUGCAAACAGUGUCCAUUCAAAAAUCAUAAGGCAAUUGAGGAAGCACAGUAUAAGACAAGUGUUGCAGCAUAUCACUGCUAUUUCAUAUUUUAUGAAGAAGAUAUUUCCUCCACACUUAAAGCACAGCUCUGGCAUAACUGACAGUAAGAUUAUAAUUAGAGAGCAAAAAUAAAUGUCAUUUUAGACAAGUUAUGCUUUGGAAUAAGUUUUUUUCAGCUAAAUUAAAAUUACAAAUAAAUAAUCACUCUAUGUGAAAUAGUAAAAUAAAUUAGUGUCUACUUCUUCCAGUAGAACACCCCAUGAUCUCCCAUCCUUUUCCUUCCAUGCAUCUUCUCUAUACAGCCAGUUUUUUGCAAGAUUGCUUCUGUAGUACUAAGAUACAAAUUUGACAUGUAAGAGCAAAGAUAGAUAAAUACAAAAAACCCCAUUGAAACCGACACACAUGAUCUGUAUGACAUUUUGAUAUAGUGAACACACAGCAAGAAUUACUGGCAUUUAGCCAAGUUUUUUAAAACUACUUAAAAAUUAGGUCAAGUGUUUCCUUUUUUUAUACAUACUUAGGAAGAAGUGUUUGCAGAUUUGCAAACAGACCGUUUUCAUAUUUAUUUUCCCCUCUUGCUAAACAGAGUAAAAAAAGAAUUCUGAAGAUAUAGGAAGUUAACAGAAAAAAAAUUAUGGCAGGCUUUCACAGCACAAAAACUGCUUUGCAUGAUAACAUUUAGUUCCCAGCCUUCCUCAGACAACAGGUUACUUAUUCUCUUAAGCCAAGUUAAGGUCUUGUGCUGAUUUUCCAUGACUAUACAUGGUAGAAAGAGCAUCUCACUGCUGUUAGUUACACUUUGUAAACCUUUCAGAAAACAAUGUCAGUUUGCACUUCAUGAAGAGAACUAAAACACAGACACGCAGGCAGAAACACUAGGACUGCUUCACUUUGCCUGUAUCCAACUUUCUGCUGCAUCUUAAUUCAACUGGGUGUUAUAAAAUUAUUUGUAAGCAUGAAAGAAAAGUUAAUUACCCACGAAGCUGCUUCUGAUGCCAAGAAAAUUGCAUUAGAUAACAAGUUAAAUCUACAGAAGUUUACAACACAAAGAGAAAGGUUCACAGCAAUUUUCUUUUUGAUUCACAAGAACCAAGCCAGCCCAUACAUAAAAGAUCCUCUGAUGUAAAGAUCUCUCUGCAACUAGCAACAGUUGAAAAUGAAGACACUUGUGGCCAAUUUAUAUAUUGCCUGUGCCCAAAUUCUUUACACAUGAAGCACUGGCCAAAUACACCCUGCUGCACAGAAUCUGAGAUUUGUGGCUUAAGCCACAAACACCUGUUUCCAAAAAACUCAUGUUAAACGCUUGGCCCACACCUUAUAUAAAUCAGUGCAUUAAGAGUAAUUACAUGACAGCUCAGGUUGACACACUGGAUGGAUUUGAGGGAAAACUGGAAGACAAGAUUGUCAUGCUGUAGGUUGUUCAGAGCUCCAUGUCCUGCUCCUUGCUCCCUUUCUGUGUGCCUCUUCCGCAGCAGGAGAAAUGCAGCUCAGUGAUGUGGCUCUUGCCUAUCUGUGUCCCUGUCUGAGCUGGGAUAGAAAAUUCAGCUGAAAGUCAGAAAGUUCA
rnacentral:lncRNA from 1 species